rnacentral:rRNA from 1 species
GGGAAACCGAGUCUUAACCGGGCGUUAAGUUGCAGGGUAUAGACCCGAAACCCGGUGAUCUAGCCAUGGGCAGGUUGAAGGUUGGGUAACACUAACUGGAGGACCGAACCGACUAAUGUUGAAAAAUUAGCGGAUGACCUGUGGCUGGGGGUGAAAGGCCAAUCAAACCGGGAGAUAGCUGGUUCUCCCCGAAAGCUAUUUAGGUAGCGCCUCGUGAAUUCAUCUCCGGGGGUAGAGCACUGUUUCGGCUAGGGGGCCAUCCCGGCUUACCAACCCGAUGCAAACUGCGAAUACCGGAGAAUGUUAUCACGGGAGACACACGGCGGGUGCUAACGUCCGUCGUGAAGAGGGAAACAACCCAGACCGCCAGCUAAGGUCCCAAAGUCAUGGUUAAGUGGGAAACGAUGUGGGAAGGCCCAGACAGCCAGGAUGUUGGCUUAGAAGCAGCCAUCAUUUAAAGAAAGCGUAAUAGCUCACUGGUCGAGUCGGCCUGCGCGGAAGAUGUAACGGGGCUAAACCAUGCACCGAAGCUGCGGCAGCGACACUGUGUGUUGUUGGGUAGGGGAGCGUUCUGUAAGCCUGUGAAGGUGUGUCGUGAGGCAUGCUGGAGGUAUCAGAAGUGCGAAUGCUGACAUAAGUAACGAUAAAGCGGGUGAAAAGCCCGCUCGCCGGAAGACCAAGGGUUCCUGUCCAACGUUAAUCGGGGCAGGGUGAGUCGACCCCUAAGGCGAGGCCGAAAGGCGUAGUCGAUGGGAAACGGGUUAAUAUUCCCGUACUUGGUGUUACUGCGAAGGGGGGACGGAGAAGGCUAUGUUGGCCGGGCGACGGUUGUCCCGGUUUAAGCGUGUAGGUGUGUGUUCCAGGUAAAUCCGGUUCACUUUAACACUGAGGCGUGACGACGAGGCACUACGGUGCUGAAGCAACAAAUGCCCUGCUUCCAGGAAAAGCCUCUAAGCAUCAGGUAACAUCAAAUCGUACCCCAAACCGACACAGGUGGUCAGGUAGAGAAUACCAAGGCGCUUGAGAGAACUCGGGUGAAGGAACUAGGCAAAAUGGUGCCGUAACUUCGGGAGAAGGCACGCUGACACGUAGGUGAAGUGAUUUACUCAUGGAGCUGAAGUCAGUCGAAGAUACCAGCUGGCUGCAACUGUUUAUUAAAAACACAGCACUGUGCAAACACGAAAGUGGACGUAUACGGUGUGACGCCUGCCCGGUGCCGGAAGGUUAAUUGAUGGGGUCAGCGCAAGCGAAGCUCCUGAUCGAAGCCCCGGUAAACGGCGGCCGUAACUAUAACGGUCCUAAGGUAGCGAAAUUCCUUGUCGGGUAAGUUCCGACCUGCACGAAUGGCGUAAUGAUGGCCAGGCUGUCUCCACCCGAGACUCAGUGAAAUUGAACUCGCUGUGAAGAUGCAGUGUACCCGCGGCAAGACGGAAAGACCCCGUGAACCUUUACUAUAGCUUGACACUGAACAUUGAGCCUUGAUGUGUAGGAUAGGUGGGAGGCUUUGAAGUGUGGACGCCAGUCUGCAUGGAGCCGACCUUGAAAUACCACCCUUUAAUGUUUGAUGUUCUAACGUGGACCCGUUACCCGGGUUGCGGACAGUGUCUGGUGGGUAGUUUGACUGGGGCGGUCUCCUCCUAAAGAGUAACGGAGGAGCACGAAGGUUGGCUAAUCCUGGUCGGACAUCAGGAGGUUAGUGCAAUGGCAUAAGCCAGCUUGACUGCGAGCGUGACGGCGCGAGCAGGUGCGAAAGCAGGUCAUAGUGAUCCGGUGGUUCUGAAUGGAAGGGCCAUCGCUCAACGGAUAAAAGGUACUCCGGGGAUAACAGGCUGAUACCGCCCAAGAGUUCAUAUCGACGGCGGUGUUUGGCACCUCGAUGUCGGCUCAUCACAUCCUGGGGCUGAAGUAGGUCCCAAGGGUAUGGCUGUUCGCCAUUUAAAGUGGUACGCGAGCUGGGUUUAGAACGUCGUGAGACAGUUCGGUCCCUAUCUGCCGUGGGCGCUGGAGAACUGAGGGGGGCUGCUCCUAGUACGAGAGGACCGGAGUGGACGCAUCACUGGUGUUCGGGUUGUCAUGCCAAUGGCACUGCCCGGUAGCUAAAUGCGGAAGAGAUAAGUGCUGAAAGCAUCUAAGCACGAAACUUGCCCCGA